GAUGAACGCUGGCGGCGUGCCUAAUACAUGCAAGUCGAGCGGACAGAUGAGGAGCUUGCUCCUCUGACGUUAGCGGCGGACGGGUGAGUAACACGUGGAUAACCUACCUAUAAGACUGGGAUAACUUCGGGAAACCGGAGCUAAUACCGGAUAAUAUGUUGAACCGCAUGGUGCAAUAGUGAAAGACGGUUUUGCUGUUACUUAUAGAUGGAUCCGCGCCGCAUUAGCUAGUUGGUAAGGUAACGGCUUACCAAGGCAACGAUGCGUAGCCGACCUGAGAGGGUGAUCGGCCACACCGGAACUGAGACACGGUCCAGACUCCUACGGGAGGCAGCAGUAGGGAAUCUUCCGCAAUGGGCGAAAGCCUGACGGAGCAACGCCGCGUGAGUGAAGAAGGUCUUCGGAUCGUAAAACUCUGUUAUUAGGGAAGAACAAAUGUGUAAGUAACUAGGCACGUCUUGACGGUACCUAAUCAGAAAGCCACGGCUAACUACGUG
rnacentral:rRNA from 1 species